CGGAAGAGGUCAGGGGCAGGGAGGUGCAAGCCUGACAUGGUCGAGGAACAAGAAGGUGGCCGGUGGAGCUGAAGGAUGAUGUUCGAGAGGUCGUGAAGCACAAGAUAAUUCUCAAAUGUGAGAUCGAAGGAAAGACAACCAGACUGGUAUCACCACAGGACGACCAAGCCAUGCCUAGAAAGUUUGAGGAAAACUGUUGUUCAACCUGGAAUUCUUUCCACUGAGGGUGAGUGCAGAAUGAGACUUACAGACUUUCAGACUUACAAGACUUUCAGACUUAAAGAACUCAGAAAUUUUUACCUAUGAAGCACUUUCCUCAGGGUUUUUACAUGGCGGUCUACUCCUGUGGGGUGAGGACAAGAGGAGGUAGGAGCCUACCCAGGAGGACGGUGAAGCCAAGUGCCGCUGUGAGAACCGUGCCUCUCCUGGACAACGAGUGGUUCAGAAUGGAACAGGUCUGGAAGAGGUUUUUGAGUAUUUUUAGUUUUUACUUGUGCUCCUUCCAAUCCAUUUUCUACAAUGUUGCUCAGCAUCCCCGUGGGGCUACUGUGGCAAGAGAGUUGACCCUUCUCAAUGUGUUUAUAAGACCUGGAGCAGAGUCACAGAAGGGACUGUGAACGGGUACAUGAAGAUUGAAGCAGCCUUAUUCAUAACAGCCAAAAACUGAAAACAACUCAAACGUCCACAAACGGAUAAACAGGUACAUGAAAUGUGGUAUGUCCCUACAUGGAACAUCAGCAGAGAAAAGAAUGAAGUGCUGACACGCGCUACAAUAGAGAUGAAUCUUGACCUUAUACUCAGUGGAAAAAGGCAGACACAAAAGACCACAUAUCACAAGAGUCCACUUUUUUUUUUCUUUUUGAAAGAUUAUUUAUUUACUUAUUUGACAGACAGAGAUCACAAGUAGGCAGAGAGGCAGGCGGAGAGAGAGGAGGAAGCAGACUCCCCGCUGAACAGAGAGCCCGAUGCAGGGCUCCAUCCCACGACGCUGGGAUCAUGACCUGAGCUGAAGGCAGAGGCUUAACCCACUGAGCCACCCAGGUGCCCCAUAAGAUUCCAUGUUUAUGAAAUGUCCGAGGAGGCCAAUUUAUAGAGACACAAGGCAGGUUAGCGGCUGCUUAGGGCUGGGGGUGACUGCUGGGAGCAACAGGGAGUGGCCCCGGUGGGUGCGGGGUUUCUUUUGGGGGUGAUGAAAAUAUUGUAAAAUUCUGCACUCUUGGUUGCACAACACUGUGAAUUCACCCCAAACCACUGAUUUGUACACUUCAAAUAUGUAAAUUGUAGCUCAAUAAAGCUGUUAGAAAGACACAGAUCUAGAGAAGAGUUGGGGUGGGCAGAAAACAGAGACUGGAUUGUGCUUUCCCAUCAAUCUCCUCCUGCAAGCACUCAUUCUGCUGGAGAAAGAAUCAAGAUCCUAACAGUGGGUCUGAGACGGAUUUCUGACCAUCAGGCCUUCCUCUCGCCCCCCGUAGAGAGGAGUUAAUUAUCAGAGUGGGCUCUAGCUGGGUCGUCUUUAAUGUUACCAUCUGCAAACUACUGCUAACUUUUGCGUUUCCCUUUCCUUUCUGUCUUCUCCUUCUCAGGGACCCAGUUUUCCUAGAAGUAGACCAGAUGCACCACAAGUUGGAUCACAGAACUAGGGCAACAAAUCUCUCUAGAAAGUGUGUUAAGUACAACACUGAUUUAGGGAACAGUGCCCUGAACUUCAGGUUCACCUUCAGCGUUUCUCUGCAGGAAGCUCCAAGGAUGGUCCCUUCCUGUAGAAAGCUCAUGAUCACCUAGGGAGGUUGGCCAAUUCAUGUCAAGAAAGAGCUCAGGAUGCAGGUGUUUCUGCUUUUUCUUCUCCAUGAGGGAGUAAACAUGAGGCUGGCCAGGGGACGUCAGCUUGGAAAGAGGCACAGCAUCGACCUUCACGUGUAAGCCACCAAGUUUUGUUCGACAUGUAACAUUUCCUUUUCUUACAAAUGCCUAUCUAUGCCAUUCUCUGUCAGAUUGAACACAGAGACUGUAUUUCUCAAAGUAAUGCAACUCCAACUUACUUUAAGUGCAAGGAGGCAUAGGGCAAGGUUACACUCAAGCCAUUACCAAGAAAGCAAGAGGGAUUGCUGGAGUCUUCCAGCACUUGCCUUGAUUACUUGGGAUGUGAUCAGGGCAGGGACAGCUGGAUGCACACAGUGGCAUGGGGCAAACGUGGGAGUAAAGGGUUAACUGUCAGGGUUAAAAUUCAGGACACCGUUUUAAUUUGAAUUCCAGAUAAACAACAAGUAAUUUUUUAGUGUAAGUGUGUUGUCCCAUGAAAUACGUAUUUGUUUGAAAUUCGAGUUUAAUUGGGAGUCUUCCAUUUUUAUUCACUGAAUUUGGACCCUGGAACACACUGCUACACUGUAAUUGUCGUGAUUGUGUUGUAAUAAUCGCUGGCUUGUUUCCUGUUGCUUUGAAUCUUUUGAUUCCUCCGAGUAUGCCGCCAAAAAUUCUAGUAUCCGAAAAAGCUGAGAGCCACUGAAUUCCCUAUUCAUUCUGGAAAGUCUCCUCUGAUUAAGACUGACAAAUAAAAUUCAGGACACCCAUUUAAAUUUGAAUUUCAGAUAAACAAGUAAUUUUUUAGUGUAAGUGUGGUGUCCCACGAAAUACGUGUUUGUCUGAAAUUUGAGUUUAAUUGAGAGCCUUCCAUUUUUGUUUACUGAA